UGGGGAAUAUUGCACAAUGGAGGGAACUCUGAUGCAGCGACGCCGCGUGAACGAAGAAGGCUUUCGAGUCGUAAAGUUCUUUUAUAUGGGAAGAUAAUGACGGUACCAUAAGAAAAAGCCCCGGCUAACUACGUGCCAGCAGCCGCGGUAAUAAGUAGGGGGCUAGCGUUGUCCGGAAUCACUGGGAGUAAAGGGUUAGCAGGCGGAAAUGCAAGUCAGGUGUAAAAGGAAGUAGGUUAACUACUGUAAGCAUUUGAAACUGCACAUCUUGAUAAGAGUAGUGGUGAGUGAAAUUUGUGGUGUGGCGGUGAAGGGCGAAGAUAUUAUGAAGAAAACCGUGUGCUGUGGGAACAUUCUUGACACAUGCAGACGCUGUGGAACGAAAGCGUGGGUAGCAAACAGG
rnacentral:rRNA from 1 species